AUGGAGGUGGCGGUGGCUGUGGAGGAGGAGAACACUAGGAAGGUGUUCGUCGUGGUGCCGGCGGAGCGCAGGGCGGGGCGGUCGACGCUGUCGUGGGCUCUCGGCCAUCUCUGCGGCGGAGCCACCACGGUGGUCGUCACGCACGUGCACGUCCCGCCGCAGAUGAUCCCCGUCAUGGGAGCCAAGUUCCAUGCCAGCAAGCUGAGCUCGGAGCAGGUGAGCUCCUUCAGAAGGAUGGAGCGCGACAAGGCGGACAAGAUGCUGGACGACUACGUUCAUCAGUGCCGGAAAGCCAAGGUGAGCUGUGAGAAGCUGGUGAUCGAGAAGGAAGAUGUCGCCUCCGGCCUCGUCGAGCUCAUUGGCUUGCGCGGGAUCGCCGAGCUGGUUGUUUCGGCUGCCGCGGACCGGCAGUACUCCACAAAACUGGACAGACCUGUCUGCAGGACAGCAGCAGCCAUAAUGCAGCGAGCUGAUCCAUCAUGCAAGAUCUGGUUCGUCUGCAAGGAGCAGUUAAUCUGCACCAGGGAAACUAAAGUAGAGAUCGCAUCAUCUGCUGUCAAUGCACCAUUGCUCCCUAAUCCUGGCCAUGAAGUCCUUCAUUUGUCAACUCACCGGGAAGAGGAUGACGAUGACGUUGAGGUUGAAUUGGGGUUCUAUGAUGAACUCAGGGAGGCAUGCAGAGCAGCCGAGGACCUGAUGAACAGAGCUCUGAACGAAUCCCGCAGGCGCCAGAAGGCAGACGAAGAAGUGGCCGCAUCUCUCCAGAAAGCCAAAGAACACGAGGAGCUGUACCUGGAGGAGGUGAAGAAGAGGAAGGAGCUCGAAGCAGCCCUGGCGAGAGCAGAGAAAGAAAUUUCAGAGCUACCACAGGCAAUCCAGCGGGACACGAUCGACGAGGAAUCCGAGGAGGCGAGGGCGAGGAUAUCAGCCCUGGGAUUGCAAAGCACGAGCAAGGAGGAACCGGAGGCGGUGCUCUGGCACUGCCAGUGCCAGUGUCAGUGUCAGAGGAAGCUGGCCGCGUCGUCUCCGUCGUCGGUCAUCAUACCAUAG
rnacentral:rRNA from 1 species